CACGUAGGGGCCAAGCGUUGUCCGGAUUUAUUGGGCGUAAAGAGCUCGUAGACGGUUCGACAAGUCGGGUGUGAAAACUCCGGGCUCAACCCGGAGACGCCACCCGAUACUGUCGUGACUGGAGUUCGGCAGGGGAGACUGGAAUUCCGCGUGUAGCAGUGAAAUGCGUAGAUAUGCGGAGGAACACCGAUGGCGAAGGCAAUCCCCUGGGCCUGCACUGACGCUCAUGCACGAAAGCGUGGGGAGCAAACAGG
rnacentral:rRNA from 1 species